AGAGUUUGAUCCUGGCUCAGGAUAAACGCUGGCGGCGUGCCUAAUACAUGCAAGUCGAACGAGUUGAGUAGCAAUACUCAGCGAGUGGCGAACGGGUGAGUAACACGUUGGGAACCUACCCUUAUGACCGGAAUACCUGGAGGAAACUUCAGCUAAUGCCGGAUACGUGGGAGAGACACAAGUCUCUUUCAUAAAAGGCAGCUUCAAAGCUGCGCAAAAGGAUGGACCUGCGGCGCAUUAGUUAGUUGGUGAGAUAACAGCCCACCAAGACGAGGAUGCGUAGCCGACCUGAGAGGGUGAUCGGCCACACUGGAACUGAGACACGGUCCAGACUCCUACGGGAGGCAGCAGUAGGGAGUAUUCGGCAAUGGGGGAAACCCUGACCGAGCAACGCCGCGUGAACGAUGAAGGUCUUCGGAUUGUAAAGUUCUGUGAUAGGGGACGAAUGGCAAGUGCAGGAAAUGGCAUUUGUUUGACGGUACUCUAUUAGAAAGCUACGACUAACUACGUGCCAGCAGUCGCGGUAAUACGUAGGUAGCAAGCGUUAUCCGGAAUUAUUGGGCGUAAAGAGUGAGCAGGCGGUUCGAUAAGUCUAAAGUUAAACUCUGUUGCUUAACAACAGAUCGCUUUGGAAACUAUCUUACUAGAGUGCGGAAGAGGUAAGCGGAAUUCCAUAUGUAGCGGUGAAAUGCAUAGAUAUAUGGAGGAACACCAGCGGCGAAGGCGGCUUACCAGUCCGAUACUGACGCUCAGUCACGAAAGCGUGGGUAGCAAAUAGGCUUAGAUACCCUAGUAGUCCACGCUGUAAACGUUGAGAACCAGAUGCCGGGUUAGAAGCUCAGUGUCAAAGCAAACGCAUUAAGUUCUCCGCCUGGGUACUACGUUCGCAAGAAUAAAACUUAAAGGAAUUGACGGGCACCCGCACAAGCAGUGGAGCAUGUGGUUUAAUUCGUCGCUACGCGAAAAACCUUACCAGGGUUUGACAUCUCGGCUAAAUACAUGGAAACAUGGGAAUAUAUGUCGAUGAACGGUGGUGCAUGGUUGUCGUCAGCUCGUGUCGUGAGAUGUUGGGUUAAGUCCCAAAACGAGCGCAACCCUUGCUAUUAGUUGCUACGCAAGAGCACUCUAAUAGGACUGCCGUUGACAAAACGGAGGAAGGUGGGGACGACGUCAAAUCAUCAUGCCCCUUAUGACCUGGGCUACACACGUACUACAAUGGAUAUCAACAGAGGGAAGCUAAGCAGCGAUGUGGAGCCAACCCCUAAAAAUGUUCUCAGUUCAGAUUGCAGGCUGCAACCCGCCUGCAUGAAGUCGGAAUUGCUAGUAAUCGCGGAUCAGCAUGCCGCGGUGAAUACGUUCCCGGGCCUUGUACACACCGCCCGUCACACCAUGGGAGCCGGUAAUACCCGAAGUCAGUAGUUUAACCGCAAGGAGAACGCUGCCGAAGGUAGGAUUGGCGACUGGGGUGAAGUCGUAACAAGGUAACC
rnacentral:rRNA from 1 species